AGUGAGCCGGUCAAUCAGCGCUGGGGCUGUAGUGGCACAGGAGGUGGGAGGUGGGCAGGCCAACACGGAGGAGGCCUCCUAUGGGAAGCUGAGGAGUUUGGCAUUUUAUCAGAAGACAGUAUCAUGCCAUUGAGGGAUCUUAAGCAAAGCAGUGACAGAAUCAGAUCUAUAGUUUCAUCAAGACCCAUUGGGCUUCAACGUUCAGUCUGCACCGGAGCAGGGAACACUCUAGAGAUGAGGCAAUGAGGAAACCAGAGAUAGGCCCAGGCGUGUGAGAGGAGCGGCCGAGGCUGACCCCUCUGCCUGGAGGGGAGAAGGGAAAGGGGAAAGGCGAGACUCCUCCCGUCAUCCUCAUGUCCUGGAUACUGGGCACCACACCAAGUAUUUCCUACCUUCUUUCCCUAUUUCUUACACCCCAGCCAUCAGUAUCAAUGUGAAAACCACAAUGCUUGGAUUAUUUAGAUUUAUUUCCAAAUCCCACAACAG
ensembl:lncRNA novel transcript, antisense to RNMTL1